CCGGUGACCUGAGACCCACCCUUCUCGACGGGGCAGGUGUUAUAAGUGUCCUGUAGAGUAUGGGUGUGGUUUUAGUGCACGCGG
rnacentral:pre_miRNA from 1 species